rnacentral:rRNA from 1 species
AGUGAACGCUGGCGGCAGGCCUAACACAUGCAAGUCGAACGGCAGCACGGCAGUAGCAAUACUGUGGGUGGCGAGUGGCGGACGGGUGAGGAAUACAUGGGAAUCUACCCUGUCGUGGGGGAUAACGUAGGGAAACUUACGCUAAUACCGCAUACGACCGAGAGGUGAAAGCGGCGGACCGCAAGGCGUCGCGCGAUUGGAUGAGCCCAUGUCGGAUUAGCUAGUUGGCGGGGUAAAGGCCCACCAAGGCGACGAUCCGUAGCUGGUCUGAGAGGAUGAUCAGCCACACUGGAACUGAGACACGGUCCAGACUCCUACGGGAGGCAGCAGUGGGGAAUAUUGGACAAUGGGCGCAAGCCUGAUCCAGCCAUGCCGCGUGAGUGAAGAAGGCCUUCGGGUUGUAAAGCUCUUUUGUCCGGAAAGAAAAGCUCUCGGUUAAUACCCGGGGGUGAUGACGGUACCGGAAGAAUAAGCACCGGCUAACUUCGUGCCAGCAGCCGCCGUAA